rnacentral:lncRNA from 1 species
CUGGUCACAGCCUCGGAAAGGGAGGUUCGAGGAGCCGGUGCAACAUCGGGAGGGAUCAUGGCUGAGAUUUUUCUGGAUUUGACAAUGAACCUAGAUCGAGAGGCCCCCAGAUGCCAAGCAGGACAAAGAAAGGGUAGGAGGAAGUGCCCUGAGAAGCCACUGCCAAGUGCCUCCUCCGCCUGGGCCCACGCGGGUCCAGGAAACCCAGUCCCUAUCUCAGGCAGCCAGACCCCAGUCACCACCCCAAAACCAGCUUGGCGUCUUCAUUUUGAAGGUGAGAUUCCGUGGCUCUUCACUGCACACAGUCCUGGGCUUGUGUAAAAGAACCAGAUUUCAGGAAAAAAAAUGAGACGGGGCCAGAGGAAAGGAAGUCACCAUGUUGGUGACAUAAUGUGCACCGUGGGACAGGGACCAGGGGAGGGACUCAGCCUGGAAAGGUGAGUGGGACCAGGAGAAGGCCUGGGGAUGGGCCCUGGGGACCAGACGGGGGCGUCCACCAAGCCGGAGCCGUCUCAGCACUGUGGCCACCAGGCCCCGUUCAGUGACAAAGAUUCUGUUCAUCCUCUUCACUGUCUCAAAAUGAAAUUCAGAGGAAUGUUUUCGAACCUCCAUAUAAUUGCUGACAGUAAUAAGGGAGAAAUAAAAGACUUUUCUUUUUUGGUGUUGGGGAACUGACCAGGGCCUGUGUCUGCUCAGUACACACUCCCACGACGCUCCGGCCCUGACCAAGAAGGACUUAAAAGAAAACAUUCAGUAUUUCAGCAGAGAAAUGCUCAGGCACGACUCCACUGGAAGACCUGGGCUUCUGAAUGAGAGACUAUUCAGAAAUUGGUAAAAAUAAUCAGAAUGUUUUUUAAAAAGUUCACUCUCAUUUUACAGGAUGGCUGCAACGUUGGGAAAAAUUCAGUGUUUGCUACAAAUAGUAAUAAAAAUGUAAAAUUAUCAUUACGAUUAGGUUUUGGGUGCCCCAUGACUAUGCACAGGUUCUUAAAAUUUAACUUUGGAAUUAUUAGAUGGUCCCGUUUUACACACUAGUCAUUAUGGAACGGUUUAAAGCCCAGCGCCGUGGGCAGGCAGCUGGUCCUGGGCUGUGCAGGACCAUCUUGCGCACAGUAGGACACGGCAGGCCUCCCACGCCCCUCGGUGGACGCCAGGAGUACCCCCCACCCAGGCCUUGGCACACGCACAAAAUACCUCUGGAAGCUUCCAGAUCCGCUUCUGCUUCUGUCCCUUUUGAAAACUCCUCGUCUCGGGUACUGGCCGGGGCUUCGUUGCCCACAGGCCACUGGCCUUGCCGCCCCAUGGGCUUUAUACAGAGGCGUGUGGUGGGGCGCAGCCGUCGAACAACAGUCCUCCUUGUCUUUUCCUUCAAAUAGGACCCUGGUGAUGGCUUUGGCCGCACUCAGAAAGAGGGACCUUGGUUCUCCCCUGUUCACUACAAGGAAGAGCGCAGAGGAAGACCAGGAAGGGCCUGAUCACAGCAGAAGAGUGGCCUGCACACCUGUCCCCAGGUUCGAUGGGCGUGGGUCCUUGUUCAUAGAACACACCCGUGAAGAGUGUCCACCUGGGCCCUGGGCAUCCCACGGAGAGCCGAUGAGGGGGCGAUGCCCUUCCAGAGUGCGCAGCCGCGGUGAGGGCCGGCUGGGGAGGUGGUAAGUGGAGGCCCCGAUGCCCGUGAUUACAGGGAAGAGAGGGCUGUGCACGGGGAGGAGGCGUCGGAAGGAGGCAGGGGUCAUUUGGAGUUAAGAAGGGAAGGCCAUGGGGCAGCCACCCCAGGGCCCCACUCUCCUCUCAGGGGUGGGAGUGGGGGCCGAGGGCUCUGGGGGUCCCUGCUGUACUCCCCCUCAGGGCUGAUAAUGACACUGUCCUCAGGGGAAGAAAAGGACACUCGGCCUUUUGCAAAGCUCUGCUGUGGAGCUCGCCUGGCCUGUGUGAGGCCCUGGGUUCCAUCCCCAGCAGACAGGGGCCACACACACACACACACCCCGGGAAGGGGCGGAGAGCUGGGCUGGGGAGGCUCAGAAGCAGAGGAAGAGAAGGACGAGCUGGUUAGUUGCCAGAGAUGUUUUGAAAUUCCCGCAAAAUGCAGCCUUUUGGAAGGAAACUUCCCCUUUGGUGACAUGAUGGAAACGAACCACAGAAGAUCUGAAGCAUUGAAAGAACUUCCCCAGGUUUGAAUUAGACCAGGCCUCAUUCAAAUCAGCACCCCGUCCCACGAAAUUCGGAUCCCUCCACCCCCACUGCAGACGGAAAGGAACAGGAAUCACCCACUCAAGAUGGCACCCGGGCCGCCCUCUGGUUGGUGGGCUCGGGUCACAUGACCCCAAGGAGACCCUUGAAGGUUGACACCAUCUUUUGUGAGGCUCCCAAAGGGCACUCGGAGGUUGGCUGGGCUGCUUGUGGUAGGGAAGGAACAGGAGCCGGCCCAACAUGGGAGGCCAGUGCUGCAUGGGCCCACGUAGGCCCCACAGUAAAUUCCUGAAAAGGCUCAGGGAAAGGAAGAUUUGAAAUGUUGCAAGUUUUGCUCCUUCCUUCUCCAUAACUCUAGAACUUUCUAUUGCCCAAGUGUUUCCUUCUGCAGGUUUUAACAAUGUUUUGCAAUGUAGAAUUGAAAAACCAGUUUAAAAAUACCUUUUAAAGAAAAAAAAAUUGAAACUCUGUAGAAAGCAAAAAGAGUUUGUGUCCAUCUCAUCAUCUGCCUGACACUGCAGUGCAGACUCCGUGACGUCAUCUCCCUACACUCCUACCACAUCACCCCCUCCCACCGGUCUCCUUGCUGUUUGUUGGCCACACUCCCACCUCAGGACCUUUGCACUGGCUUCUCUGUCCUUGGAAAGCAUUUUUGUAGACGCGGGCGGCUUACUCCUUUUCCUCCUGGUCUUCACUCACACACGACCUUCUUGAUGAGCAAGAGUAACUCUCCUGCUUACAAUGGCACCAGUCCCCCCUGGGCUUACCUAUUUUGUCUUUGUUCUGUAGCAUUCCCUCCUUUCUAACUUACGGGGCAAUUGCUUCUUUAUUGCAUUUAUUGCUUCUUGCCCGCCCCCCUCGGGAGGCUGUAAGUCCCACUAGCGACCUUCAGUGGGUGCUCCUGGUCUAAAACAGUGCCCGUCACAGAGCAGAUGUUCAGUACAUUUUUGCUCAAUGAAUUAAAUGAACAAAGAGUGGCUAAUAGUGGCUACUGUUUAUUGAGGACUUAAUUUGUGUCAAGCGCCGUUCUAAGUACAUUCUCCCAGCAACCCUUAAGGAAAUUUUUUUUUAAUAUUUAUUUUUCAGUUGUGUAGUUGGACACAAUACCUUCAUUUUAUUUACUUGUAUGUGGUGCCGAGGAUCAGACCCAGGGCCUCGCAUGUGCUAGGCGAGUGCUCUACCGCUGAGCCACAACCCGGGCCCCUAAGGAAAGUUUAAACAAACCCCUUUUACAAAUGAAGAACCCUGGGCACAGAGAGGCUAAGCAACUUACCUAAGACCAUUCAGUAAGGUGAAUGUCAGUGCCAGGGUUUGAACCCAAGCAGAGUGCCGCCAGAGCCCACGGUAUCAACCAUGAUGCCGUGUUUGCCUCUCGUGAGAUGUAAAGAGGGGGGACCUCACAAGGUGGGCCGGGCUCUGCCCUCAAGAGUGGAUCAAUCCACCCACAGGACUGACGGAUUAACGAGUUAUCUCAAAAGUGGGUCUGCUAUUUAAAAAGCCACUCUGGCUGCGUCUCACGCGCACCCUGUCUCUGGCCGCGUGAGGCCCUGGGCACCUCUGGACUGCCAGCAAGACCGCUACCGCCAGAUGCGGCCCCUCAGCGCGGGCCCAGAACCGCGCGGGCCCAGCCUCCAGGUUGUCAUUCACAGCAGAAAUGGGCCACGCGACCUUCCUCUGUGGAGGCCUCUCUUUACCCUGCAGGGUGGUGACAGGCGGGGUGCGGAUGUGGGUGCCCUGCAGCUCAGGGGCUCCUGGACCUUCCCACCACCCUCGGCAGGGUCUCCAGAGAACAGAACCAGGGGUCAGACGACGGUGGAUGAGAUGGUGGGGCUUUAUUAGGGGCCUUGGCUCACAAGGUCGUGGAGGCUGGGGAGUCCCCCGGUGAGCCUUUUGCAGGGGAACCAGGACAGCUCGGCCUCCCUCCCUGGUGUCUGAUGGCGCUGCCCGGCUGGCUCUGCCUUCCCUGGAGCUGGCUCCUUGGUCCCCCGUCCCCGACCCAUCUGUCCAGCUCUCUCUCCCGUCCCUGCCCUGGGCAGAGCUGGCUGUUGGCUCUCCCUGAGCUGGCUGUGCCAUUCUGCCCCCCGCCACUCCAGUGCCGCGUGGCCUGGUUGGCAGGACUGCGCUGUCCCCUGCGGGCACCAGCAUCACCCUCGCGUCCUGGCACACAGCCCUCCUCCUGGAGGUGCCCGUUUUCUCCUCUGUGUCUCCUGGGGGCUCUGUGAGUCCCUGACACAUUCUGCCUUUUUCCCCACCUGCUUUGUGUCCCUCCUCAAGGGCAGCGCCAGGCGAGUCCACCUCCCCACUCCCUGCAGCAGGGCUCAGCCGGCCAGGCGCAGGUCAGUGCCAGGGAGCCUCCCAGACCCCUCUGUGUGCUCAGAAAGGGACAGCAGUUUGUCACCUGGGGCCCGCACGGCUCUCCUUGGCCCCGGGACAUCUCCUUGGAGGCCCGCGUUGUUCUGUUUUUGGAGCGUUUCAUCGAGGAUAUUCUGGAAACUUCAGCAAACAUUCCCCAAAGUGUCCUUUCCCACUGAGUCCACAGGCCCCGCGGGGAGACUCCACUCACUCUGCCGUUUAGCGUUCAGGUUGGUUUUGGGGGAGUUACACACAAGGUGGAGCUGACUCAGCUCGGGGACACAGGCUCCUUCUCACCGCCAUGGGGCCACCGCCACCGCCCAGCUCCAGAGCUCCCUCCAGCUUCCUGGUCUUCCCGGGAAACUGUCCCCGCUGAGCGCCCCGCCACCUGCCCCGCCCCACAGCAGGCUCUCCUCUGCCUCCUGAGUGACCCCUCCAGGGGCGAGUCCGUGGCGUCGUGGAGAGGCUGUUGCCCGGAGAGCCAGGGCACUUAGGGGAGCCACCUGUCCCUUGGUGUCUGAGUCUGGCUGCUUCUCCGAGCUCGGAGUCUCGGGGUUCACCUCGGUGGAAGGCUGAGGGCACCCCGUGUCCAGCUGUCUCCUUUCUUGCGGGGCUUGGGGGACAGGCUGGCCCGGGCCUGGUGGGCGCCCCAGGGCUGCGCUCUGUCCUCCCCAGCCGCCACCUGGGGCCCCCUCUGACCUGACCCCCACUGCCAGCCCAGCCACCGUCCCCAUCGCUCCGGCCCUUUCCCCUCAGGGCCAGCGAGGGGUCACUAGGGCCCGUCCCAGAGCUCACGGCCUUCACCCCCCCCCGCACCCCAGCCCCCCACCCCGGACCCCGCUCUUGCUCCACCUCCCCGAGGCCCCGCGUGGGCAGGGCCGGGGGCACCCAGACUUUCUUGGUGGCCACGGUUCUCAGCUGCGGGCCACGCUGUUCCUGAAUGAACCAAACUCAGGUUCAUUUCCACGCGACCCCACCCGGGCACCGCCCCUCACCCUCCACAGGCCCCUGCUGCCCCCGACCUAGGCAGCCGGCAGUUAGGGUCCUCCCAGAGCUCCAGGUGCCCUCCACCUGCCACCCCUCCUCCCAAGGGGUUUGCUCUCCACCUCAAGGUCACCAUCUCAGGACGGCGACUUCCGUCACCUACGGAUUUCCUAGUAAACCCACGUGGCAUUGCCGGGUACGUUUUCAACUUUUAUAGAAAAGUCAUCAUUCUAUACACUGAGCUGCGUUCUUUCUUUUUAACAUUUAUUUUUUAGUUGUAGAUGGACACAAGAUACACAAUAUUGCUUUAUUGUAUUUAUUUACAUGUGGUGCUGGGGAUCGGACCCAGUGCCUCACACAUGCUAGGCCAGUGCUCUUCCUCGGAGCCACAACCCCCUCCCUGAGCUGUGUUCUCUUUCCACUAACUUUAUGUUUUUGCGAUUUAUCCAUGUUGAAACGCGUAGCUCUUGUUUAUUCAUUUUACCUGGCUGCAUAGUUCUCCGUGGUUUGACCACGGUAGGCAUUAUGCAUCUAUUCUGCCAUGAUGGACAUUCAGUUUCCAGUUGUUUUACUAAUACAAAACAGAAUGCGUUCGUGUGUGUGUGUGUGUGUGUGUGUGUGUCUAUCCGAAGGAGACAGACAAAGGGAGGGGACUGAGGGACAAUGAUAUGUACAUCUAUUUUACCAGAUGUGGCCAAACUGCUCUCUAGGCUGAGCUACCGAUUUGCAUCCCACCAGUCGGUUACCAGGCUUCAUCCUGAGGCAAAGGAGCUGAUCCUCAAUUCACUCCUAACCUGGACACCCUCUUGUUCCCUUGCUCAGGAACUGCGUCCUCUGACGGUGUCUUGCGUUCACAGGUAAGUGCUUUCCUGGGGAUUCUUGCAACCCUGGGUAAAAUGGUUCAGCCGGGGUGUUUCUGGAGGGGCCCCCUGUUUCUGUUGCAGGAGCCCAAGGGCCACACACUAGUCGGCAGAGGAGCCUGGCU